CACACCAAGAGGUUGUAACGUUGUGAAGGCGUUACAUUUUUUUAAAUAAAUAAUUCGACGCUUGACAAUUCUGACGGACAAUGUUACCCGCCACGACUGCGUCCUAGACUAGUUGUUUCGUGCAGCCGCUUGAAGCAGGAGGGCACCUCUGCCGCGCAGCGCGUGCGCAGAAUGGUUAGUGGCACUCGGGAAUCGUUUUCACGAUCCGACGCGUGCAGUCUGCUUUUAAAAAAAAGAUAAAGUGUUCCUGUUGGAUAUUCAGGAACACAAUAUCCCUUUGCUUGCACUACCAACUACUCCAGUGAUCUUGUAAACCCGUUAUACGGGUUCCACGGUACCCCUCGUGUUCCCGGUACUCCUCGAAGUUCCCGGUACCCCUCGAAGUUUACGGUACCACCUCGAGUUCUUUGUGCUCCUCUGGUCUACGCCACGCACGCUUACUCGUGGCACCCUCUCCUGGUGUCACGAACCUCCAGGCGCACCUCGCGGCACCCUCUUCUGGUGCCACGGACCUCUCAGCACCUGGCCGGCGGCCUGCCACCGAGCACCAACCAGCGCGCAUUCCAUUUCACCGAAGAUCAUCUCGCCGGGUUCCGCUACCUCCGGGACGUCACCGCACGGCACAGCAGGGAAGUACCGCCUACUGCAAGCCUUAGAGACUGUAGUGACGACCGCGAAAACCCACGACCCUAUCUACUUACUGCUAAAUAAAUUCUUGUGUUGACUUUGG